AUGUUGCACAACUUUGGCGGCAUAGUGGCGUCACUACCCAUCACGUACCUAGGCCUCCCAAUCACCACCAGUAGGGUUCGUUUAGUCCACCUGCAGUUCAUCCUAGAUAGGAUUCGUGCGCGCCUCGCUGGUUGGAAGGGCAGACUCAUGCAUAUCGCCGGCCGAAGGGUGCUCGUCCGCUGUGUCCUCUCCGCUAUGCCGACGUUCGCCCUCACGGUGCUGAGAGCACCAAGGAAGUUUUUCAAGGAGGUAGAUAAAGCCAGACGUCGUUUCCUCUGGGCACAAGACGAAGCAGCAACCGGAGGAAAGUGCAAGGUAGCAUGGAGCGCGGUCACCACGCCGGAACCCCACGGAGGCCUCGGUAUCCAUGAUCUGGACAAAUUCGCGUGUGCCCUCCGUCUGCGCUGGCUCUGGCUCUCCUGGACCCAUCCAGAGCUGCCAUGGGUCGGCACGGACACACCAUGCAACCUGCAGGACCGAGCCCUGUUCGCUGCCAACACGGUGGUCACCAUCGGGGACGGCAAGACGGCGUCUUUCUGGUCAAGUCCCUGGCUAGACGACAUGCCACUCCGGCUGGACUAUCCUACCCUGUUCGCCCGCUCCAUCCGCAAGAACAGGUCCGUCCGGGACGCGCUGCUCGACGGGCGGUGGAUACUUGAUCUCCGCCACGGGGAAACCAGCAGCAUCGCGCCAUCUGUGCUCCAGCUUGCAAGGGCAAUUCGGAGAGCUGGCAUCAUCAUCAACAAUGAUCUCAGCGACACAAUCCGCUGGACUGCUGGCACCUCCGGGCACUACUCCGCCCGCUCCGCCUACGCGGCACAAUUCCAGGAGCCAAUGGCACCCUUCCCCUCCAAGGACGUCUGGCGAAUUUGGGCACCUGGGAAGCUCAAGAUGUUCCUCUAG
rnacentral:rRNA from 1 species